rnacentral:rRNA from 1 species
UACGUAGGGUGCGAGCGUUAAUUGGAAUUACUGGGCGUAAAGCGUGCGCAGGCGGCUUCGCAAGUCAGACGUGAAAUCCCCGGGCUUAACCUGGGAAUGGCGUUUGAAACUACGGAGCUGGAGUGUGGCAGAGGGAGGUAGAAUUCCACGUGUAGCGGUGAAAUGCGUAGAUAUGUGGAGGAAUACCGAUGGCGAAGGCAGCCUCCUGGGCCAACACUGACGCUCAUGCACGAAAGCGUGGGGAGCAAACAGG